UACAUCCUGAGGAGGUGUCUGUUGCCAUGGUUCAAGUGAUGUACACCCACCUUUCCAGAGGUUUCCAGGCUGCACCACUCCCUUGCAGGAUGCCAGGCUUCCUCUUGUGAUGGUUGUGCCCCUGGACCAGUGUAGAAGCAGAGACAAGUCAAAGAUCAUUUCAAAUGCCUUCCAGGUCAAAGUUGUUGCUGUAGAUGAAGAGCUGACUGUCUUCUAUGAGGACAGUGUGCACUUUGACAGAGAUCUCCCAGAAUUUGGGACUCAGGGAGGGGUUCAUGUUCACGAGGAUGGGCUGACAGUGACUUCUCCAGUCCUGAUGUGGGUCCAGGCCUUGGACAUCCUCUUGGAGAAGAUGAAGGCUUCAGGCUUUGACUUCUCUCAAGUCCUCUCCAUGUCCGGGGCCGGCCAGCAACACGGAAGUGUGUACUGGAAGGUUGGGGCCAGCCAGGUGCUGACAAACCUGUCACCAGACCUACCGUUACACGAGCAGCUGCAGGCCUGUUUCUCCAUCAGCGACUGCCCGGUGUGGAUGGACUCCAGCACCACAGCCCAGUGCCGCCAGCUGGAGGCUGCCGUGGGUGGGGCCCAGGCUCUCAGCUGCCUCACCGGCUCUCGGGCCUACGAGCGAUUUACAGGAAACCAGAUUGCAAAGAUUUACCAGCAGAACCCUGAGGCCUAUGCACACACGGAGAGAAUUUCUUUGGUCAGUAGUUUUGCUGCUUCCUUAUUCCUUGGGUCUUACUCCCCUAUUGACUACAGCGAUGGUUCUGGAAUGAAUCUGUUGCAGAUCCAGGACAAAGUCUGGUCGCAGGCUUGCCUUGGUGCCUGUGCACCUCAGCUGGAGGGGAAGCUCGGCCCCCUGGUGCCCUCCUGCUCAUGUGUGGGAGCCAUUUCUGCCUACUACGUCCAGCGCUACGGAUUCCCUUCAGGAUGCAAAGUGGUGGCCUUCACGGGGGACAACCCAGCAUCACUGGCAGGCAUGAGGCUGGAGGAAGGUGACAUUGCGGUGAGCCUGGGCACCAGCGACACCCUGUUUCUCUGGCUGCAGGAGCCCGUGCCUGCCUUGGAGGGCCACAUCUUCUGCAACCCGGUGGACCCCCAGCACUACAUGGCGCUCCUGUGCUUCAAAAACGGCUCCCUCAUGAGAGAGCAGAUCCGCGAUGAGUCCGCUGCCUGUUCCUGGACUGAGUUCUCCAGGGCGCUGCGGUCCACGGAGCUGGGGAAUGGCGGGAGCCUGGGCUUUUAUUUUGACGUAAUGGAGAUCACCCCUGAGAUUACUGGGCGUCACAGGUUUAGCGCAGACAACUGUAAGGUCUCAGCAUUCCCCAAGGAUGUGGAGAUCCGGGCACUGGUGGAAGGACAGUUCAUGGCCAAGAGGAUCCAUGCCGAGGGCCUGGGCUAUCGCAUCAUGCCCAAGACAAAGAUUUUGGCCACUGGAGGGGCCUCUCACAACAGAGACAUCUUACAGGUGCUUGCAGAUGUGUUUGGCGCCCCCGUGUAUGUCACAGACACUGCCAACUCAGCCUGUGUGGGCUCUGCAUACCGCGCCUUCCACGGUAGGCCAAUGGAUGGAGGCUGGAUGCCCCUGGGAGAGGCCUUGCAGCUGGGACGGGUGUACCCUUCUCAGAGGUUGUGAAGUUAGCCCCCAACCCCAGAUUGGCUGCAACCCCCACCCCAGGAGCUUCUCAGGUCUACGAGGCCCUCCUCCCGAAGUAUGCCAAGUUGGAGCAGAGAAUCCUGUCCCAGACCCUGGGGCCUGUGGCGUGAAUUCCAGAGUUAACCCUGCCUGCCUGAACUCACUGACGCACUUGGAGAUGCAGCUCUGGACGGCAGGGGUCCUCUUGCCUGUUCCCAGGGGCUCUGCCUGCCCAGCCCUGCCUGGCACCACCUUAAAGCCCCCUUAACACAUCGUCUUCAACAUAAACAGGCUGCUUGUGUUCUGUGCCCUUGUGGUCAGGGCAGGAAAGCAUCUCUUCCUGUCUUUUAUCCCAGGAGGUAGGAUAACACUGAGUCUGCAAUAUAGCCAAUAAAAAUGGACUUUUCCCCUUUCAAAGGCAGAAAUAAAGCUAAUACAGGGACCUAAGUCCACAGAAUUGGGGAGACAAAUAGCCCCCACAUCCUAAGCCCGGCCCAGUCCCUACUCCAACCCUGACUGGCCACUCCUCCCAAGCCCUGACCCACAGCCAGCCCCAUCCAUCCUCUCUCCCAUCGCUGACUUCCCAGCCGCUUUCCCCUCCCUCUGGCCCUCUUCAGCACCCUCCCAGUUUCCUUUCUGGUCUUCUCCAAGUUCACCUUUAUGCUCUUACCUUUCUCCUUUCAGCCUCUGUCCCCUCCCCUCCUUGAUCAUCUUUCUUCCCUCCCUAUGCCCACCCAGUGUAACUCACCACCUCCCACCCAAAACCCUAGGCUGGCCUGGUGAAUGUGCUUCCCAUGCCCUCCCUUCAGCUGUGCCUAUGGGCUGCCAACUCCCAGGUACACAGAUCAUGUGGAAGAAUCUCUCCCAGGCAGCACCACGUAGCAUCCUUCCCUCCCUUCCUCCCUCCCUCUCUCCUCUUGCAGUUCCCUUGCUGAUAAAACUGGGUCAGUAGUCUGGGAGAAUUUCCCAAAUUGUGUAUUUUGUUGAUUCUACACAUUAGAUGCCUGUAUCACCCCCUCCCCAAGGCAUGACAAUUGAAAGUGUCUCCAGGCAUUGCCAAAUACCCCUGAUGGUGGUUAGGAAGCAAAAUCUCCUUAGUUGACAACCCACUGACCUAAAGACUUGAUCCCAUGCACUUGUGAUUAUGCAAAGCAACUUCCUAAGAUGGUGUGUUCUUCCAUCAGGAGGCACGUAAUGUCUGGUUUUCUCUCUUUUCUGUGAUGUGCAUGCCUAGUUCCAUUAGUUCCCUAGGAAUACAAUUUUAUUGUUCCUCUUCA